rnacentral:misc_RNA from 1 species
GAUGAAGAACGCAGCGAAAUGCGAUAAGUAGUGUGAAUUGCAGAAUUCAGUGAAUCAUCGAAUCUUUGAACGCACAUUGCGCCCCUUGGUAUUCCAUGGGGCAUGCCUGUUCGAGCGUCAUUGCUGCCCUUCAAGCCUGGCUUGUGUGUUGGGUCGUCGUCCCCCCCGGGGGACGGGCCCGAAAGGCAGCGGCGGCACCGCGUCCGGUCCUCGAGCGUAUGGGGCUUUGUCACCCGCUCGAUUAGGGCCGGCCGGGCGCCAGCCGGCGUCUCCAACCUUCUAUUUUACCAGGUUGACCUCGGAUCAGGUAGGGAUACCCGCUGAACUUAAGCAUAUCAAUAAGCGGAGGA